GCUGUAGCUCAGUGGUAGAGUAUCAGUUUUGCAUGGAGGAAGUCCCAGGUUCCAUCCCUGGCAUCUGCA